AUCUGGCUAACCAGUUCCAAAUAGCACGAAACGCGCGUCCUGCAU
rfam:Schistosoma haematobium scaffold382_29, whole genome shotgun sequence.